rnacentral:rRNA from 1 species
AAUUAAGCUACUAAGGGCGCACGGUGGAUGCCUUGGCGCCAAGAGCCGAUGAAGGGCGUGGAUGGCUGCGAUAAGCCUCGGGGAGCCGCCAUCAGGCGUUGAUCCGGGGAUGCCCGAAUGGGGAAACCCACCUGGGGGAAUGCCCAGGUAUCCCCUGGCUGAACCCAUAGGCCAGGGGAGGGGAACGAGGGGAACUGAAACAUCUUAGUACCCUCAGGAAAAGAGAUCAUUCCCUGAGUAGUGGCGAGCGAAAGGGGAACAGCCCAAACCGGUCGUGUGGAAAAGGCCGACACCGUUGCACGGCCGGGGUUGUAAGGCGCGACAGGGGUCGUGUCGGAGACCCCAGGGAGUUACCAAUCUGGUCGCUAGCCGAAGGGUACUGGAAAGGCCCGCCAUAGAGGGUGAUAGCCCCGUAGGCGAAAGC